GAGUUUCUGUACGUGUUUCAGUGAACGUGGUUCCAGCGCAAAGGACUAGUGUAGCUGCUUUUAAAAUAAACUUUGGAUAAGGAAUGUGAUCAUGGCAGUUCUCAUUUCUUUAACAAAUAGUGUGUACCCAUAGGGUCCAAGGCGCCAGACUUGUCUCUGUUCUGACAACUGCCGCAGCGAAAUGGUGGAAAAGGUCAGAUGAUGCACAGAAACGACUGAAUGAAGACAAAGAAGUGAAAGCUGUGACAGGUGUGGCACCAGCUGUUGAUGAGGUGACGCUAAUGCCUGGCACAAGAAGCUGAGGGUGGAUGAAAUGAAUGCCGCUUGUCCCUCUUCUUAGAUAGGAAACAAAAAG
rnacentral:lncRNA from 1 species